AGCCCCCCUCAAGAUGAGAUUUCCCAAUUAGUAAGACCCCUUGAAGACGACGAGGUAGAUAGGUUGGAGGUGGAAGUGCAGCAAUGCAUGGAGCUGACCAAUACUAAUCGGUCGAGGGCUUAUCCUAAAA
rnacentral:rRNA from 1 species